CGAAAACCGCCGUUUCGCCUUGAAUGUUUUAAAUAUGGACGUUUAAAAAAAAAAAAAAAAAAAAAAAAAAAAANNGUGUGUGUGUGUGUGUGUGUGUGUGUGUGUGUGUGUGUGUUUGCGCGCGUAUGAUUGUAUGGCGCGUUUUAUACGUUUCGA